UACGUAGGGGGCAAGCGUUGUCCGGAUUUAUUGGGCGUAAAGCGCACGCAGGCGGUGCGGUAAGUUUCGAGUGACAGGUGGUGGCUUAACUGCCACAGGACUCGGAAAACUGCUGCACUUGAGGGCUUGAGAGGGACGCGGAAUUCCAGGUGGAGCGGUGAAAUGCGCAGAUAUCGGGAGGAACACCAAUGGCGAAGGCAGCUUGCUGGGACGGUACUGACGCUGAGACGCGAAAGCGUGGGGAGCAAACAGG
rnacentral:rRNA from 1 species